UACGUAGGUGGCAAGCGUUGUCCGGAUUUAUUGGGUUUAAAGGGCGCGUAGGCGGUCUAUUAAGUCAGUGGUGAAAUACUCCAGCUUAACUGGAGGGGUGCCAUUGAUACUGAUGGGCUUGAGUGAAGUCGAGGUAGGCGGAAUUGACGGUGUAGCGGUGAAAUGCUUAGAUAUCGUCAAGAACACCAAUAGUGAAGACAGCUUACUAGGCUUAUACUGACGCUGAGGCACGAAAGUGUGGGGAUCAAACAGG
rnacentral:rRNA from 1 species